UACAGAGGUCUCAAGCGUUGUUCGGAUUCAUUGGGCGUAAAGGGCGCGUAGGCUGCGGGGCAAGUCGGGUGUGAAAUCUCAGAGCUCAACUCUGAAACUGCACUCGAUACUGCUUUGCUCGAGGACUGGAGAGGAGACUGGAAUUUACGGUGUAGCGGUGAAAUGCGUAGAUAUCGUAAGGAAGACCAGUGGCGAAGGCGGGUCUCUGGACAGUUCCUGACGCUGAGGCACGAAGGCCAGGGGAGCAAACGGG
rnacentral:rRNA from 1 species